CUAACUGGAGGACCGAACCGACUAAUGUUGAAAAAUUAGCGGAUGACUUGUGGCUGGGGGUGAAAGGCCAAUCAAACCGGGAGAUAGCUGGUUCUCCCCGAAAGCUAUUUAGGUAGCGCCUCGUGAACUCAUCUUCGGGGGUAGAGCACUGUUUCGGCUAGGGGGUCAUCCCGACUUACCAACCCGAUGCAAACUACGAAUACCGAAGAAUGUUAUCACGGGAGACACACGGCGGGUGCUAACGUCCGUCGUGAA
rnacentral:rRNA from 7 species